GCCAUACCAUGUGACCUCGUGCUCAGUAUCAAAAGCCUGGGGAAAGAAGGAGGAAGGGAAGAUAUUUGGGGUUAUAGAAUUUGUCUUCCCAAAUAACUGCCACGUGAUCUGAGGUCCCGCUUUCCAGCAAGUGGCUAAGCGUUUGCCUGCUGAUAGGAAGCAGUGACCUGGGGUUAUGAUAGAAAAUAUGCUCAAUUAGCACCUUUUAUAUGAACUGUACAAAGAGCCAGAUGAAUUUGAAUGCUGACACCAUAAAUGUGCUGCUGCCUCAGUAGACAAACACCAGUCUAAAUGAAGUAAUGUCACGUGGUCACCUUCCUCUUAGUAGGUCCCUUUGGCAGUGGAUGAUGAUAAAUGCUUGCUGUAACCCACCUCAGCCACAAUCCUCCCCAGACCAAGUUCCUCAUUCACUUGCACCCUUCUGGCAGUUGGCUUCAAAGAGCAUGCUUUGAUGUUUUGUAUGGCAUCCCUACAUUUGCAAAGCCUGUUUGUGCUUUUCGCAAGUCAUACUUAUCAAGGUGAUUGUUGCUUUGGUUCUUGGCAUCAACAAUAAAAUACUGGACAUCUUACAAAAUGCAGCUUGUUUAGAGAUAGCAGUGAUGAAAGCAAAAAUACUUUCCUUGCAGAAAAAUAGUAACUCAUCUCAAUAAUAAAAGGAGAUAUGAUAAUGAGUUUUAUCAUUUGGUGUAUACUCAGCAGAAAUAGAUAAUUAUUAAUUUUAUUGUAUUAAGAACUGAUUUACCUAAUUAUGAACGCUGAAGAAGGUUUUGAUUGGCUAUCAUCAAGAAUGACUAACUCCUACAGAAAUAAAAAACUGCUUAAAGGAUGAUCAAGAGAAGGAACAGUAUACAUAAUAAGAGAUAAGUUUGAAAAAUGCAGAUUUUUUGCAGUAACACUGGGAUGGAUGUACAUUGAAGUCAGCAGUAGAUCUAAAUUCUGUCUAACUGAAUAUGAUUAGUACCUGUCUGAACAAAUUUGUCUUUGGGUGGAGUUUAUAAUCAAAUAAGACAACACUGAUAGAUUUGUAGAUGAAUUUGCUAUUGUGUCUGUACAUUUGAAAAGAAUCCAAUGUUCAUGUUAAAAGUAAAUUUGAUCAUCAAGGGAGAUUUAGUUUGAGCAAAGUGAAAUGGAUACAAAUUGAAAGGCAUAUUUUAUAUGAGACGUUCAAUAUGAACUAGUUUUGAUUUUUGAAAGUUAAUCAAUUUCAAUUUGAUAAAGCAUGAGAUUUAAGUAAUCUUUACGUUGUAAAUGUUUAUCAUUUCUGAAGACUCUGCAUUACUACACAGAAAGCAGUAAUGAUCAAAGGACUGUUGCGACUAGGAAGCUUCUACUAAAGAUGAAAUGAAUCUUGUAGGUUCAGUCCUACCACUUUACAUUCGCGAGAUCACCAUGUGACUAGUUUUUCAACAGAGUAAAGAAAUAUUGAAAACUUCUAUCAGUAUCUCUUCUCUAAUGCCAGUAGUAUUGUCAGAAAACAGCAGAUGCUUAUUUACAUAUUAACAAGCUAUUCCAAAGCUAAGCAGCUAGUGUCAAAUACGUAAUUUGGGUUUUUGACUCCUCUCUUUACCCAUAGAUUUUGAAUCCAAAUAUUUCCUUUACAUAAACAGGAACAAAAAACUGCUGUUUCUCGAGUUAGAUUCUUUUGUUCAAACAAUGUAAAGUGAACCUUACUUCUAUGAAAUCAGGUUAUAGUUACAGGUCAACGAUUCUACAGAAUUACUGUACUCAGAACAGCGCAAAUUAUUCCACUCCAUUCUAAUAUUUAAUGAUAUAUGCAAGCAAAAAGGCCUGUUAUCUAUCGCUGGAGAAUAGCCUGCUCUCAGAAAAUGGACAAAUACUAAUGCUGGGAAAAAAUCUGUUUAACAAUUCAAAUACUUCUACUAGCUUGUUGUCAGCGUGAUAUACUUUGUGUAUUGUAUUUCUACAGUUUUCUGCUCUCUAAGGCAUUUUCAUGCACUGAGUGCAACAGAAAAAUGUGAAUGUUUCAUGAAUGAAAUAUUUGAAGCAGUACGCUUAACCUUUUAAUACUUAAUAUUCGUGCUAUGACUAAUUACUGUACAGUUUAUGAAUUUCACUUUUCUUAAACAUUAGUUUAAAGCUGGGAUUUACAUUGUGAAUUGCCUUCCCUCCAAACUUGUCUACGGUCCUACCUCCUGUGCUGUAAUCUUACUCCCAGACUGGAUAUAGUUAUGCUACAACCUCACCUUAUACGAUGCAAACCAACUGCAGGCUGCACUUACAAGUUGGUUAUGUUUUG